UCUCCAAGGCUGAAACUACUGGCAUCAAUGAAAGUGCUGGUUUCAGGUGUUCUGUGUUUGCCUGCCUGUCUGUCUUUGCCAUGUCUUCUGCUUCUGUCUGCCUACCACAGAGGAGGAGACUAUGUUAUGGCAGUUGCUAGUUUAUUUCAGAAUUAAGUAAGAGUACCUGGUCUCCAAAACUAGCAUAGCUAGUUUAUUCUAUUCUGAAGACUUAUGUCCGCACAGAGGCCUGAUGGAAUGUAUCUGUGCACCAACACAAUCAGUGGAAGCAUUAGUCAUAGAAGGUGCUUGCAUGCAGGUAUGCCAAGAGGAAUCCCAUCUUGCACACCCAAAUCCAAUUUUGAGAGCAUAGUGGAUCUCAGCAAGAGACAUAUUCUUAUAGUUAGUGUUCAUACAUCACCAUGAAACAAAAGCUACUCCACUGCAGAAGAAAAAUCAGAAUUGCAGAAUGGACCUGAUGGACAGCCUACAAGUAGUACAUUCAAAUAUCAACUUGACUACUUCUGUGCAGUCCCACCGAUAAUAAAAUUGACAACCAACAUUGUAUUUAAACAGUGCUACAAUACAUCUUCACUGAAAGCUAAGACGAGCUUUUUGUCUAGGUUGGACAUGACCAUUGUGGGGCACAAGACCUUCAAAUAACCACUAACCUGGAGAGGGUCUUGGUUCCCUCUGAAGGAGCAACUGCUUAAGUCAUUGCACGGACCAAAGCGGAUGGUAUUGGCUGUUGGAGAAACUGCUGUGGGAACAGAGAAGGAGCAGAAAGCUUUCACUGAGGCCACUGCUUAGUUGUGUGGUUUGGAGUAUAUAUAUCUACUUGCUUGUUUUGACCUAUCUAGGUAAUUGAGAAUGGAAGCUUGAAGAUAAAACAUAUUUUUUUCAGUACAAACAGUUUGCAACACUCCUUAAUACACUGCUUAGUACAAAGAUUGUGGGACUCAAUGGGUAUCUGAUUGUUUUAAUUUGGUAAGUCUUAGAUGUUUGAUUGUUCAUUCUAUAUCUAUGCUUUCUUCCCCUGACAGUGUAGAUUAAACAGGUACUUUAUUUGUAUCCCGCGUCUCAAUUAUCAAAUGUAUUAAAAUGGGAAGGGAUGGACUGCCGCUAUGUGCUGAAGGAACUUGUCUUUCACAAAUAAUGAAAAAGAAGUAAAAGUGGGUUAGUGCAUUGUUUUUCCCAAUCAGGAAGGUUAAAGUCAUCCAGCAUUUUUGUGUUUUUAUUAGUAAAUAUUUACUUUCCUGAGCUUCUCUAGAAAGCUUGUUAUUGUUUAGGGCAAGAAAGUUUGAAAAUAGCAGGUUUCAGAUGUAUUUUACCUUCUGAUAGUGAGUGGCGCUGCUA